AUACUUACCUGACGAGGUCAAUGGGUGAUCAAAAAGACCUGUGGCCUAGGUUGGUAACCUUCAUUGCACUUUGGAGGAGUGCUCACCUAAGAUCUAUCCAAGUAGUAGAGCCUAUGUCAUAAUUUGUGAUAGUUGGGGCUUGUGUUGGCGCGCCCCAU